UACAGAGGUCCCAAGCGUUGUUCGGAUUCAUUGGGCGUAAAGGGUGCGUAGGCGGCGCGGUAAGUCGGGUGUGAAAUCUCGGAGCUUAACUCCGAAACUGCAUUCGAUACUGCCGUGCUUGAGGACUGGAGAGGAGACUGGAAUUUACGGUGUAGCGGUGAAAUGCGUAGAUAUCGUAAGGAAGACCAGUGGCGAAAGGCGGGUCUCUGGACAGUUCCUGACGCUGAGGCACGAAGGCCAGGGGAGCAAACGGG
rnacentral:rRNA from 1 species